rnacentral:rRNA from 1 species
UAGGGAAUCUUCCACAAUGGACGCAAGUCUGAUGGAGCAACGCCGCGUGAGUGAAGAAGGGUUUCGGCUCGUAAAGCUCUGUUGUUAAAGAAGAACAUGGGUAAGAGUAACUGUUUACCCAGUGACGGUAUUUAACCAGAAAGCCACGGCUAACUACGUGCCAG